rnacentral:tRNA from 1 species
GAAGGUAUAGCUCAGUGGUAGAGUGUGUGCUUAACAAGCACAAGGUCCUGGGUUCCAUCCCCAGUUCACCCA